rnacentral:rRNA from 1 species
AGAGUUUGAUCAUGGCUCAGAACGAACGCUGGCGGCAUGCCUAACACAUGCAAGUCGAACGAAGCCUUCGGGCUUAGUGGCGCACGGGUGCGUAACGCGUGGGAAUCUGCCCUUGGGUUCGGAAUAACAGUUAGAAAUGACUGCUAAUACCGAAUGAUGUCUUCGGGCCAAAGAUUUAUCGCCCAAGGAUGAGCCCGCGUCGGAUUAGCUAGUUGGUGAGGUAAAAGGCUCACCAAGGCGACGAUCCGUAGCUGGUCUGAGAGGAUGAUCAGCCACACUGGGACUGAGACACGGCCCAGACUCCUACGGGAGGCAGCAGUGGGGAAUAUUGGACAAUGGGCGAAAGCCUGAUCCAGCAAUGCCGCGUGAGUGAUGAAGGCCUUAGGGUUGUAAAGCUCUUUUACCCGGGAUGAUAAUGACAGUACCGGGAGAAUAAGCCCCGGCUAACUCCGUG